CAGACUAACAUACAUGUGAGUACAAUAAUUAUAAUUUAGCCAAUUUUUUUUACAAAAUACAAGAAAGAUGAGCUUGUUAUUGCCUUCACCUUGUUCUUCUUCAUCAUCAUUCCAACUUCCAGUUACAGGAGCAGCAGCAGAAAAAUGCAAAAGAAGGAUGCUGAUGAUGAUUAGUGGUGGGAAUUCCAGGGCGAGAAUGUCGGGGAUGUCGAUUACAAAGAAGAAAAGGCAAGUGUGGUUGUGGACUGAGAGCCAACAAGUCAUGACCACUGCUGUGGAGAGAGGCUGGACUACUUUUCUCUUCUCCUCUCCCCAUCUCCCCACCAUCUGGUCUUCAAUAGCAAGGAUAAAUCCUCUUUUCAUGAAAGACGGGGAGAUUUAUGAUGUUGAUGAUCAAAUAGUUGCCACUUUUUCUUCAAUUUCUUCUCCGGAAGAAUUGAAGCAGUUUCAGCCAAGUGAUGAGCAGCCAGAUAUUGUUAUUGUCAAUCUGCUAGACUGGCAGGCGAUCCCUGCGGAGAAUAUAGUUGCAGCAUUUCAAGGCACUGACAAAAGAGUAAUGGCAGUUUCAAAAACUCCAAAGGAAGCUCAAAUGUUCCUUGAGGCAUUGGAGCUUGGAUUAGGAGGAGUGGUUUUGAAAGUAGAGGAUGUCAAAGCUGUCCUUGAUAUGAAGGAAUAUUUCGACAGAAUAGAUGAAGUUGGCAUUCCAUUAGGCUUGACCAGAGCUACUGUAUCUCAAGUUCAAAUGACUGGAAUGGGUGAUAGAGUUUGUGUGGAUCUCUGUACUAUGAUGAAGCCAGGGGAAGGUCUUCUGGUUGGAUCCUUUGCAAGAGGGCUAUUCCUAGUUCACUCGGAGUGCUUAGAGACAAGCUACAUUUCGAGUAGGCCUUUUCGAGUCAAUGCAGGACCUGUUCAUGCCUAUGUUGCUGUUCCUGGAGGAAAAACGUGUUACCUCUCAGAAUUAAGAUCAGGCAAAGAGGUAAUUGUGGUUGAUCAAAGUGGCAACCAACGGUCAGCAGUUGUUGGGCGUGUAAAGAUAGAGACUAGACCGUUAAUUCUUGUUGAGGCAAAGGCAGAAAUGGAUAAUGUAAUUGUUUAUAGCACUCUUUUACAAAAUGCCGAGACGGUUGCCCUAAUCUCCCCAAACAAGGGGAAUGGAUCUGCAAAUAUGGCAAUACCUGUAACUGCACUCAAAGUUGGAGAUGAAGUUUUGAUGAGAGUGCAGGGUGGUGCUCGCCAUACAGGAAUAGAAAUUCAAGAAUUCAUUGUUGAAAAAUGAAAUAAAUUGUGUGAAUCAUGUUUACUCUGAGACUUGUUCGGAACAGUUUGAGUUGACCACUAUAUCAUAUGUGAUGUUCUGUAGCUGCCAGUGUCUACGGUCUUGCAUGACUGGAAUACUUGUCAACCCCUCUGAAUGUUGAAUUAGGGCUGUAAAUUGAUACGGACUAUCCGGUGUCUCGGCUCAUAUCCGGCUCGAAAAUAUGAUACAUGUCUCAUAUCCGUUUUGAAAACGAUCCAAAUCUGGCGAAAAUAUUAAGCCCGUAUAAUAUAUGAUCCCGGAUCUGAGCACACCUGUACCCGCUCAGAUUCGGUCUCAUAUAAUUUUUCAUAAUAUGAUCCUACCCGAAUACGCGAAUAUGAUCCACGGUUCAUAUUUAAUUCAAACUCAUAUACAUAUUAUAAUUUAAAUCCAUUUGUAAGUAAAUAGUCAUCAUUUUAUAAAAUUUUAAUAUCUUAUUUAAGUUUAUGUCUUCAUAAAAUGUGAUUUAUUUAAUCUGAUCAUGCUUAUUAUCUUCAUAUAUAUUUAAUAAAUGAUAUAUAUCAACAUAUAACUAUAGGUUUUAAUUAAAAUUAUUAUAUUUUAUAAUAUUAAUUUUACUUAGACUAAAUGAUAAUUAUUUGAAUAAUAGAAAUAAUAAGAUAUUUAAUGUUAGUGGAUCAUAUCCGGCUCAUAUUCGAUGGAUCAUAAACUACCCGUUAAAAAAUGGAAAAUACGAUACUGGAUCAUAUUCGGUUCAGAUCCGAAUCUCAAAUACCCAGGAUCGGUUUAUAUCCGAAUAAAACGAUCCCGAACCCAAAUCUGGACAAACUGAAAGUUAUAUGAUCCGGUACUCGAGCAUAGAGGUACUCGGGAUCACCCGGAUCAUUUUACAGCCCUAUGUUGAAUUGUUGAUUAUCAGUGAGUGACAGACAAUAUCGGCCUCUGUUUCGACUGCUUGUUGCCUUUAGAGUCACACAUUCUGAUUUAGCAUCUCUGGCACUUGUAAUCUUUUUACCUAGCAGAACUAUUGUUGAAUACUUAAUUGUCCUGAGUUACUUGAACUCUCUGCAAGUUAAAAAUGGAUAGGCUUUUUUGUCAA